CGCCAUCGUAGUGACUGCGAGAUCAUUACCGAGUGCGACUGCUCGGCGCACUCCACCGUGACUACUACACUGUGCUCGCGAGAGCCCAGUGAGCGCGGACACUUGACUCAUGCCUGAAGGAUGCAUCUGACCUGAAUACAAUACGUCAACUCACAAUGAUCUCUGGUUCCGCCUCGUGAACUCGCUGCUGACUCUUCAGU
rnacentral:misc_RNA from 2 species